UACGUAGGUGGCAAGCGUUAUCCGGAAUUAUUGGGCGUAAAGCGCGCGUAGGCGGUUUCUUAAGUCUGAUGUGAAAGCCCACGGCUCAACCGUGGAGGGUCAUUGGAAACUGGGAAACUUGAGUGCAGAAGAGGAAAGUGGAACUCCAUGUGUAGCGGUGAAAUGCGCAGAGAUAUGGAGGAACACCAGUGGCGAAGGCGACUUUCUGGUCUGUAACUGACGCUGAUGUGCGAAAGCGUGGGGAUCAAACAGG
rnacentral:rRNA from 1 species